UCCCCGGUAGCUCAGUUGGUAGAGCGGUUGACUGUUAAUCAACUUGUCGCUGGUUCGAGUCCGGCCCGGGGAGCCA
rnacentral:tRNA from 2 species